rnacentral:rRNA from 1 species
ACACUCCUACGGGAGGCAGCAGUGGGGAAUAUUGCACAAUGGGCGCAAGCCUGAUGCAGCCAUGCCGCGUGUAUGAAGAAGGCCUUCGGGUUGUAAAGUACUUUCAGCGGGGAGGAAGGCGAUAAGGUUAAUAACCUUGUCGAUUGACGUUACCCGCAGAAGAAGCACCGGCUAACUCCGUGCCAGCAGCCGCGGUAAUACGGAGGGUGCAAGCGUUAAUCGGAAUUACUGGGCGUAAAGCGCACGCAGGCGGUCUGUCAAGUCGGAUGUGAAAUCCCCGGGCUCAACCUGGGAACUGCAUUCGAAACUGGCAGGCUAGAGUCUUGUAGAGGGGGGUAGAAUUCCAGGUGUAGCGGUGAAAUGCGUAGAGAUCUGGAGGAAUACCGGUGGCGAAGGCGGCCCCCUGGACAAAGACUGACGCUCAGGUGCGAAAGCGUGGGGAGCAAACAGGAUUAGAUACCCCAGUAGUCCC